CAGCAGCCACGGUAAUACGGAGGGUGCAAGCGUUAAUCGGAAUUACUGGGCGUAAAGCGUGCGUAGGCGGCUUCUUAAGUCGGAUGUGAAAUCCCUGAGCUUAACUUAGGAAUUGCAUUCGAUACUGGGAAGCUAGAGUAUGGGAGAGGAUGGUAGAAUUCCAGGUGUAGCGGUGAAAUGCGUAGAGAUCUGGAGGAAUACCGAUGGCGAAGGCAGCCAUCUGGCCUAAUACUGACGCUGAGGUACGAAAGCAUGGGGAGCAAACAGGAUUAGAUACCCCUGUAGUCCCUGUCUCUUAUAC
rnacentral:rRNA from 1 species